rnacentral:rRNA from 1 species
GCAAGUCGAGCGCUACCUUCGGGUGGAGCGGCGGACGGGUUAGUAACGCGUGGGAACGUACCUUUCGGUAAGGAAUAGCCACUGGAAACGGUGAGUAAUACCUUAUACGCCCUAUGGGGGAAAGAUUUAUCGCCGAGGGAUCGGCCCGCGUUAGAUUAGGUAGUUGGUGGGGUAAUGGCCUACCAAGCCUACGAUCUAUAGCUGGUUUGAGAGGAUGAUC